UUCCCUGGGGUUCAGUAGUGGGGACUCUGCACUUUAAUUGCAGUGAGCCUGGGUUCAACCCUCGUUGGGGAAU
rnacentral:tRNA from 1 species